CUCGGGCACCCCCCGGCCCCUUACCGAAGCGGCUGUGGUCCUGCCGGGUGCCCUGCACCGUGCCGUUGGGGAAGAUCUCCAGGUGGAAGCCGGUGCGGCAGUAGAGCUGCCGCCGCCGCAGGAUGCCCUUGAGCACCACUUCCAGGCCACAGACCCUGUUUGGGCUGGAUACUGAGUUAAGAAGCCUGUGACAAACCUGAGUGCUUGACCUGAGGAAUCUCACUGCUCUGCCUUGUGGAAGGAUUCCUACUGGAAGGCAACAGAAUCUCCAUCAAGAGCUCGUGACCUGUGUGUGCAGGUGAUUGACAGCAGCCAUGAUUGCCAAACAAACUAGAGAAGAGAUGAAGACAUGACUUGUUCUGAGGAUGUAAAAUGGG